rnacentral:rRNA from 1 species
GACGAACGCUGGCGGCGUGCUUAACACAUGCAAGUCGAACGGAAAGGCCCUGCUUUUGUGGGGUGCUCGAGUGGCGAACGGGUGAGUAACACGUGCGUAACCUGCCCUUGACUUUGGGAUAACUUCAGGAAACUGGGUCUAAUACCGGAUAGGAGCUCCUGCUGCAUGGUGGGGGUUGGAAAGUUUCGGCGGUUGGGGAUGGACUCGCGGCUUAUCAGCUUGUUGGUGGGGUAGUGGCUUACCAAGGCUUUGACGGGUAGCCGGCCUGAGAGGGUGACCGGCCACAAUGGGACUGAGAUAGGGCCCAGACUCCUACGGGAGGCAGCAGUGGGGAGUAUUGCACAAUGGGCGGAAGCCUGAUGCAGCAACGCCGCGUGCGGGAUGACGGCCUUCGGGUUGUAAACCGCUUUCGCCUGUGACGAAGCGUGAGUGACGGUAAUGGGUAAAGAAGCACCGGCUAACUACGUG